UGACAAUAUUAGGUAGUUUACAAUCUUAAAAAUUUAGGGUUUAUCUUAGAUAUUCUUAUGCUAUGAAGUAAGCUUGUAUAAGUAUUGUGAUAAUUCUACCAGAGUUCACUUGACUGUCCAGAGCCCAUCUAAUCAAUCAUGUGUUUCAUGAGCCAGAUAGUCUCUAGGUAAGACACUCUAUGGGUGUAUCAUAAACUACAAUUACUGAAACAGGUAAUUCAGUUUUUAAAGAAAUUAACCUGAUAUGUAAAAGCCUUAGCAAAAUAGGACAGUAAGAAGUCAUCUCCAAUCAGUCUAAGAAACAACUCAGCCCAAGAGCUUCUUACAGACCUUGUAUUCCAGUAAAUAAGAAACACAAAAUACCAAGGAAGUUCACCCUUUACAUCAAAGAGAGAAAAACAGGCCUUUCCUGAAUGAUUGAGAACAAAUUCAACAAAGAAAUGGUUAUUGAUGCAUGGAGAACACCUUUGUAAAAGUUCUACAAGACUGUAUUUAAAAUAACUUGUUCCAUCUAGCACCUAAUCUUAGUUUCUCCUAUAAAAUGACGCAGGGCUCCUUGGAAAACUGACUAAUUCUAGAGUUGGGGCAGGAAAAGUACAAGUUGACCCUGGCCAUCAUGUAAUGACAGAAAAUGAAAAAGUGCUAAAAAAUUAAAAACACAACUAUGGAUACAUGUCAAAAGGAUAUAAGGCUUUGAAAGGGGGAAAAAGCAGUGAAAUAAAGGGAAAGGGAGUUUACAAACUGGUUUGAGUUGAGGAAGCCAGUUUCUUUGAGAAGAAGGAUUUGUUAUCUGAUGAGUGCUGAGUCCUAUCUGAGAAAGCCACACAAUGAAGCACUCUCAGGGUAAAUAAGCAACACUUAAGGACACCAUAUGGGCUUUUUACGCCAAAAACUAAAAUCAACUUCUUGGGUGACGAAUGAACUGAGAGUGGAGGUUCUAUACUACUUAGAAAGAUGAAGGAAAAAGAUUAAAAUCAAAACAAAAUAAAAAGUAAGCAAUAAUUGAUAGAUAAUGGGCAAGUUUAAUGGCGAACUGUACUUAAAGUUAUCAAGAACCAGUACCUGAAAUUUAUUGCAAAGAGAUUUGUAAUUUUUGUUAAGAAUUCCAGUAAACCCUAGACUUCUGGGUAAUGUGAAUCAUUGAGAAGGAAUCUGCUAUUUUCAGGCCAAAAUUUGAUCUUUUAAUGAUGUA